rnacentral:sRNA from 1 species
UUUUUCUCAUCUUCUCUU